rnacentral:rRNA from 1 species
AUGCUGAAGAAAGAUGGGUUUCAAUGGGGUACUGCUCAAACACAAGCUUUUCAACAAUUAAAAAGAGCUAUGACCACCUGCCCUGUAUUAGCACUACCAGACUUCACUGUACCUUUCACCAUUGAAGCGGAUGCUUGUGCAAAAGGAUUGGGAGCUGUACUCAUGCAAAAAGGAAGGCCAAUUGCAUUUCUCAGCAAAAGUCUGGGGCCAAAAUCUGCAGCACAAUCAAUAUAUGAAAAAGAAGCCAUGGCAAUUUUAGAAGCAUUAAAAAAAUGGAGACAUUAUGUUUGGGGAAACAAAUUGAUCAUUAAGACAGAUCAACAUUCCCUAAAAUAUAUGACAACUCAGAGGCUGACUGAAGGAGUUCAACACAAAUUGUUGUUGAAAUUGCUCGAAUAUGAUUACACCAUUGAGUACAAGAAGGGGAAAGAAAAUGUAGUGGCUGAUGCUCUUUCAAGGAGGGAUACACUUCACUCUAUACACAGUCAGAACACUACUAUCAUUAUCCCUGAGUGGACUGAAGAUGUGCUUCAAAGCUAUCAAGGAGAUAAGGAUAGUGAUAAACUGCUGAAGAAGGUGGCUGCUGAUACAGAAGAAACCCCAAAAUUUUCUACGCACAAUGGACUCCUGAAAUACAAGAACAUAAUUUAUGUGGGUGCUAGCACUGAGUUCAGAAAGCAACUCUUACAAACUUUUCAUUCUUCUGCUCUUGGAGGUCAUUCUGGAAGUAAAGCUACUUAUUACAGAAUCAAGAAGGUUUUCUAUUGGCCCAAUAUGAAGAAACAGAUAGAAGAGUUUGUCAGCCAGUGUCCUGUGUGUCAGUUAAACAAGGUGGAACACAUACACCCUCCGGGGUUACUACAACCUCUUCCAAUACCUGACAUGGCUUGA